rnacentral:rRNA from 1 species
GAUGACGGCAGCGCAGAGAUGGUGCCCCUUUUUGUCGGUAUACAGGUGGUGCAUGGCUGUCGUCAGCUCGUGUCGUGAGAUGUUGGGUUAAUUCCCGCAACGAGCGCAACCCUCGUCCUAUGUUGCCAGCACGUUAUGGUGGGGACUCAUAGGAGACUGCCGGGGUCAACUCGGAGGAAGGUGGGGAUGACGUCAAGUCAUCAUGCCCCUUAUGUCCAGGGCUUCACGCAUGCUACAAUGGCCGGUACAAAGGGCUGCGAUGCUGUAAGGCGGAGCGAAUCCCAAAAAGCCGGUCUCAGUUCGGAUUGGGGUCUGCAACUCAACCCCAUGAAUUCGGAGUCACUAGUAAUCGCAAAUCAACAACACUGCGGUGAAUACUUUCCCGGGCCUGUUCACCCCGA